UACUACUGAUUUAACUGAAACGUCUAU
rnacentral:sRNA from 1 species